ACGGGUGAGUAAUAUAUCGGAACGUGCCCAAUCGUGGGGGAUAACGUAGAGAAAUUUACGCUAAUACCGCAUACGAUCUAAGGAUGAAAGCGGGGGAUCGCAAGACCUCGCGCGAUUGGAGCGGCUGAUAUCAGAUUAGGUUGUUGGUGAGGUAAAAGCUCACCAAGCCGACGAUCUGUAGCUGGUUUGAGAGAACGACCAGCCACACUGGGACUGAGACACGGCCCAGACUCCUACGGGAGGCAGCAGUGGGGAAUUUUGGACAAUGGGCGAAAGCCUGAUCCAGCAAUGCCGCGUGCAGGAAGAAGGCCUUCGGGUUGUAAACUGCUUUUGUACGGAACGAAACGGCCUUUUCUAAUAAAGAGGGCUAAUGACGGUACCGUAAGAAUAAGCACCGGCUAACUACGUGCCAGCAGCCGCGGUAAUACGUAGGGUGCGAGCGUUAAUCGGAAUUACUGGGCGUAAAGCGUGCGCAGGCGGUUAUAUAAGACAGUUGUGAAAUCCCCGGGCUCAACCUGGGAAUUGCAUCUGUGACUGUAUAGCUAGAGUACGGUAGAGGGGGAUGGAAUUCCGCGUGUAGCAGUGAAAUG
rnacentral:rRNA from 1 species